GAUGAACGCNGGCGGCGUGCCUAAUACAUGCAAGUCGAGCGAACGGACGAGAAGCUUGCUUCUCUGAUGUUAGCGGCGGACGGGUGAGUAACACGUGGAUAACCUACCUAUAAGACUGGGAUAACUUCGGGAAACCGGAGCUAAUACCGGAUAAUAUUUUGAACCGCAUGGUUCAAAAGUGAAAGACGGUCUUGCUGUCACUUAUAGAUGGAUCCGCGCUGCAUUAGCUAGUUGGUAAGGUAACGGCUUACCAAGGCAACGAUGCAUAGCCGACCUGAGAGGGUGAUCGGCCACACUGGAACUGAGACACGGUCCAGACUCCUACGGGAGGCAGCAGUAGGGAAUCUUCCGCAAUGGGCGAAAGCCUGACGGAGCAACGCCGCGUGAGUGAUGAAGGUCUUCGGAUCGUAAAACUCUGUUAUUAGGGAAGAACAUAUGUGUAAGUAACUGUGCACAUCUUGACGGCACCUAAUCAGAAAGCCACGGCUAACUACGUGCCAGCAGCCGCGGUAAUACGUAGGUGGCAAGCGUUAUCCGGAAUUAUUGGGCGUAAAGCGCGCGUAGGCGGUUUUUUAAGUCUGAUGUGAAAGCCCACGGCUCAACCGUGGAGGGUCAUUGGAAACUGGAAAACUUGAGUGCAGAAGAGGAAAGUGGAAUUCCAUGUGUAGCGGUGAAAUGCGCAGAGAUAUGGAGGAACACCAGUGGCGAAGGCGACUUUCUGGUCUGUAACUGACGCUGAUGUGCGAAAGCGUGGGGAUCAAACAGG
rnacentral:rRNA from 1 species